rnacentral:rRNA from 1 species
GUGGGGAAUAUUGGACAAUGGGCGAAAGCCUGAUCCAGCCAUGCCGCGUGUGUGAAGAAGGUCUUCGGAUUGUAAAGCACUUUAAGUUGGGAGGAAGUGCAGUAAGUUAAUACCUUGCUGUUUUGACGUUACCGACAGAAUAAGCACCGGCUAACUUCGUUCCAGCAGCCGCGGUAAUACGAAGGUUGCAAGCGUUAAUCGGAAUUACUGGUCGUAAAGCGCGUGUAGGUGGUUUUGUAAGUUGAAGGUGAAAUCCCCGGGCUCAUACUGGGAACUGCCUCCAAAACUGCAUGACUAGAGUACGGUAGAGAGUAGUGGAAUUGCCAGUGUAGCGGUGAAAUGCGUAGAUAUAGGAAGCAACACCAGUGGCGAAGGCGACUACCUAGACUGAUAAUGACACUGCAGUACGAAAGCGUGGGGAGCAAACAGGAUUAGAUACCCGGGUAAUCC